rnacentral:misc_RNA from 1 species
GAAAUGCGAUACCUGGUGUGAAUUGCAGAAUCCCGCGAACCAUCGAGUCUUUGAACGCAAGUUGCGCCCGAGGCCACCUGGCUGAGGGCACGCCUGCCUGGGCGUCACACCAAAUACGCUCCCACAUACCCCUCAUCGGGCAGUGGGAUGCGGCAUGUGGCCCCCCGUCACGCAAGAGGCGGUGGGCCGAAGAUGCGGCUGCCGGCGUAUCGUGUCGGACACAGCGCGUGGUGGGCGACCUCGCUUUACUUACCGCAGUGCAUCCGGCACGUAGCCGACGUGUUGGCCUCAAUUGACCCUAUAAACGGAGUGCAUGACGCUUCGACCGCGACCCCAGGUCAGGCGGGACUACCCGCUGAGUUUAA